GGGGUGAUGUUCUGUGACAGAGCUUGCAAAAGUUUAAAGAAGGCAGUGGACGGGUGAAAAGUUAAACGCAUCUGAGACCCACAAGGACUCCUAAAACUGCUCGCCCCGACAAAUGCUAGAAGUUUUCCACGGCAGGAAGUUAGAAAGGGCCUGUCUGAGAUGCCCAGUGAGGGAGUGGCAGAAGCACAAGGACCAUGGUGUAAUUUACAACAGCAAAACAUCGGAAACAACCCAAACAUCCAUUAAUAGGAACUGACUGAAUGGUAUAUUCACACAAUGAUAUACUAUAGAACUAUAAAAAGGAAUUUUUUAAAAAGCUCUAUGCUCUACCAUGGAAUGAUCACCAGGAUGUUUUAUUAGAAAUCUGAUCUGAAUCUAAUCAUGAAGAAAGUGACAAAUUCCUGAACAUGGGGCAUUCAAUGGGACAACUGGACUCUACAAAAUCUUUGAUACCGUGAAAAAGAUAUCCUAGAUUGCUGGAAGACUAAAAGAACAUAAUGGCCAAAUGCAAUGAACAAACUUUGAUUGGAUUUUGGGGCAGAACAAAUAACCAGGUGUGAUUAUGAUGUUGUGCUCGUCAAGAAAAAAGUGUACUUAUCCUUGAGAAAUGCAGACUGAAGAAUUGAGGAGUAGACUACAGAUUCAAUGCAAUUCCUAUCAAAAUUCCAACAGCAUUUUUCACAAAAAUAGAAACAACAACCCUAAAAGUCAAAUGGAACUGCAAAAGACCUCAAAUAGCUGAAGUAAACCUGAGCAAGACCAAAGCUGGAGGUAUCACAUUUCCUUAU